CGCCCUUAUGACCUGGGCUACACACGUGCUACAAUGGGCGGUACAAAGGGUCGCGAACCCGCGAGGGGGAGCCAAUCCCAAAAAGCCGCUCUCAGUUCGGAUUGCAGGCUGCAACUCGCCUGCAUGAAGCCGGAAUCGCUAGUAAUCGCGGAUCAGCAUGCCGCGGUGAAUACGUUCCCGGGCCUU
rnacentral:rRNA from 1 species